GCGCCCAUAGCUCAGCAGGAUAGAGCAGCAGUUUCCUAAACUGUGUGUCGGAUGUUCGAGUCAUCUUGGGCGCACCA
rnacentral:tRNA from 3 species